AAGAAUUAAAAAGAAUGAAACUUCACUUUACCCUGGGCUAAGAAUUGAGAACACGUCAGCACAUGUGGGUUUUACUAGUGACUUUGUGCAGUGCAAACACCUCAUAAAUAGGCAGAGUAUAUCGAAAUGAUGCUUAAUUCUCUUAUCGCACUUAUCGGAGAAUGCCACUGGGACACAUUGAGAUAUGGAUUGCUUGAAUGCUUUGUUUAAUGGAUCCAUGGACAAGAGACCAGAGGAGAUCUCAUC